UACGUAGGGGCUAGCGUUGUCCGGAUUUAUUGGGCGUAAAGAGCGUGUAGGCGGCCAGGUAGGUCUGCUGUGAAAACUCGAGGCUCAACCUCGAGACGUCGGCGGAAACCAUCUGGCUAGAGUCCGGAAGAGGAGAGUGGAAUUCCUGGUGUAGCGGUGAAAUGCGCAGAUAUCAGGAAGAACACCCGUGGCGAAGGCGGCUCUCGUGGGACGGUACUGACGCUGAGACGCGAAAGCGUGGGGAGCGAACAGG
rnacentral:rRNA from 1 species